CACCCUGCCAGUGUGGCCCUGAGGGUUCUUGUCCCCUGAGGUGGACAGAGGGUCCGGGAGGAGCAGGAAGAGUUAGUGAGGAGGCUCAGAGUAUGGAAGGGCUCUGGGUAGGUCAGUUCCUCCCUCUGAUGAUGAAGUUAUCCCCCUUACCUCUUGAAACCUCCUGGUGAAGAAGGCUGGAAAACAGAGGCCAGAAGAGAAAUAGGUUCCAGAUGCCAGCAUGAUGCCAACCAGACUUCCCUGGACAGAUGACCCCCCCAAUAUGUCCUGAAGCUCCACUCCCCCAGAGACCCAACCUACUAGGGAAAGAGAGAGGCAGGCUGGGAGUAUAGAUCGACCAGUAAACACCUAUGUUCAGCAGGGAAGCAAUUACAGAAGCCAGACCUUCCACCUUCUGCAUCCCACAAUGACCUUGGGUCCAUACUCCCAAAGGGAAAAAGAAAAGGAAAGCUAUCAGGGGAGGGGAUGGGAUACAGAGAUCUGAUGGUGAGAAUUCUGUGGAGUUGUACCCCUCUUGUCCUAUGGUUUUGUUAAUGUCUCCUUUUUUAAAUAAAUAAAAAAGUUCAAUUGUCUAUUGUU